rnacentral:rRNA from 1 species
CUUUACUGUAACCUGAUAUUGGGUUCGGGCUUUGACUGCGCAGGAUAGGUGGGAGACUAUGAAGUGCUGCUUGUGGGCAGCAUGGAGUCAACAGUGAGAUACCACUCUGUCAGAGCUAGAAUUCUAACCUUCACCCAUGAUCUGGGGAAGGAACCGUAUCAGGCGGGCAGUUUGACUGGGGCGGUCGCCUCCUAAAUGGUAACGGAGGCGCGCAAAGGUGUUCUCAGGCUGGUUGGAAAUCAGCCGCAGAGUGUAAAGGCAGAAGAACGCUUGACUGUGAGAGUGACAACUCAAGCAGGGUGGAAACACGGCCUUAGUGAUCCGACGGCUUGUGCGUGGAAAUGCCGUCGCUCAACGGAUAAAAGUUA